UCCGAGAUAGUGAGGCGAUUGCGGUCAGGGCGGCGGUUCCGUACCAAGGUGUUGUGUGGCAAGCGGGUUGAAGCGUUUCUGUUUGGUUUUUUAGAUUGUGUGUGGCUGCCCUUGGGACUGGAUGUGCGUUUGAGGGGCCACAAGGGAGGACAACAGUGUGAGUUGGGCACGGCCACAGAGCAAGUGAGCAGAGCAGCUGGGCGCAUCUGAGAUGACGAAGAGGCAGCUGGUGACUGGAGGAGUGACGUGUGCUUGUCCUUCAGAAGGAAGGGAAGAGGGAGACUCUGGGCCCCUUGAAAGCUAAGGGACGCAAAGGAUGGUGACCGUCCAAGUCCAGCACGGGUAAGGAGCAGGUGGAGAGGUCGUAGAGGAAUGCAACAGGUGGAAAAGCAUGCUUUAUGUCUGGUGUUUCCCAAAACCAGAGGCAUAAUAAAGGAGCCUUACUAAUACAAUAAUAAAGUAAAUGAAAA